rnacentral:lncRNA from 1 species
AGAUCUAGAACCGCUGCAGUGCCGAGCUUCCAGGGACGUGAAGCCGGAAAGCCAGGCGCCCUUCUUGACUGCGCCUAGGUGGAACUGGCCCUCCAGCAGCUUGAACGUAGCCUCUUUUCACACUGGUAGUUCCUGAACCUCUUGUGAAAUGAAAGAUGUUCCUCAUUCCAAGCUGAGGACGGAGAAAAGCCGUAAAGCUGACACUGGUCUUAAGACCCUCAUUUGAGAGAUGCCUUCCCUGUACCUGGAGGAAAGAAACAUCUUUAUCUCUGAAGACACAGGGCCACAGAGAAGAGUCUGAACAAACAGGCUUUACCAAUUUCCCCCAGUUGUUACCGUUAGAUCAGACCUUUGUCCAGUCAUAUCCUUCCACAAGUUGUCCACUCAUCAACCCUAAGCAUAAAAAUGCACAAGUUUCCUUGUUUGUUUGGGUCUUCAUUUCCAAGGGCUCCUAUGUCAUGUUAAACUUUUAAAUAAAUUUGCAUGCUUUUCUCUUGUGAAUCUGGUUUUUGUUAUAAGGGCCUUAGCCAUGAACCUAAG